GACGAACGCUGGCGGCGUGCUUAACACAUGCAAGUCGAACGAUGAACCCGGAGCUUGCUCCGGCGGAUUAGUGGCGAACGGGUGAGUAACACGUGAGUAACCUGCCCUUGACUCUGGGAUAACUGCUAGAAAUGGUAGCUAAUACCGGAUACGACCCUCGGCGGCAUCGCCAGGGGGUGGAAAGAAUUUCGGUCAAGGAUGGACUCGCGGCCUAUCAGCUAGUUGGUGAGGUAACGGCUCACCAAGGCGACGACGGGUAGCCGGCCGGAGAGGGUGACCGGCCACACUGGGACUGAGACACGGCCCAGACUCCUACGGGAGGCAGCACUGGGGAAUAUUGCGCAAUGGGCGCAAGCCUGAUUCAGCAACGCCGCGUGAGGGAUGACGGCCUUCGGGUUGUAAACCUCUUUUAGUAGGGAAGAAGCGAAAGUGACGGUACCUGCAGAAAAAGCACCGGCUAACUACGUGCCAGCCGCCGCCGUAA
rnacentral:rRNA from 1 species